rnacentral:lncRNA from 1 species
GCUAGAGAAUGAUUUUGUUACACAUUUCCACAUGACUCAAUGAGAUACCAUGAUGAAAAUGUGUAUAAACGGUCAGGUUCAUACUUCGUUUUUCCUUUUCAACUAUAUCAUUUUAAGAAGUUAAGAAUGAAAAGAGACGAAAUAUACCAAAAGGAAGAAUCAUUAAAUUAAUCGAAGACAGAAUAACAAAAAAAAAGUUAGUUUUGAAAAAAAUGAAAAGCAAUUUGUGCUCAUUAUUCAUAUAAAAAAGCAAAUAAACUAAUGACAAAAAGAAACCUGGUUCAAUCAAACCCCUCAUAGGCAUCCGAUACAUGAACAAUGAAAAGAUUACUUUACCUCUCUACAUUUAAUUUGAUUAAGAGUGCAAAUUUAAUGUCGUUUAUAGUCUAGAAAUAAGAUAAAAGGCGUUAACAGAAACCGUUCGGGCGCAAAACGAUUAUGUAAUAUAUCAUUAUAGGUUAUAAAUCUCUACUGUUAACUUAAUAUGUAUUCUUCAUACAUCAAACACUUAAUAAAACGUGUGACAUUAAGUCUUGCGUAAUAUGUUUGGUUAAAUAAUUGAUGCCUAGUUAAUGUGUUAUAUAUUCCUAUUCGACAGAGGAGACACAAGACGCUCAUAACAUACCCAUUUUGUGCAUUUGUGUUUGCGGGAAAAGGAAAAUGAAAUCAAGUCACAUCAUGUGUAUUGCCUUUUUUCUUGCCGUAAUGUACGGACCAUGUAAGUCAAGUCUUUAUCUAUUUUUAUGUGAUAUAGUUUUUAUGUAAAGAGAACAUACAUUAUACGCAGAUAUCUAGAGAAACAUUUAAUGAACAUUCACAAAACGAUAUUUAUUUGACUCCGUUGAACAUACAUUGCUUGUUAUUUUGCAUCCUUUCUAUUAAGUUUUUUUUUUAAAUUUAAUUUGUCAUUUCUUGUACUAUAAAUUCUGAUAUAAAAUGUGCUUUAUAUACCUUGUUUUCCCGUUCAGAUAUACUUUCUAAACUGAAUUAAUAGUUAAAGCCUCUAACUAAAUUUGAAAUCCAUAAAUAUUACAGGUUAUUCAGGAUUUGCUUGUAGGAGGAGUGGUGGAGUUUGUGCGAACAGCUUUUGUCCCAAGGGGUAUUUCGAGGACCAUUUGCCACACGAUGACUGUUGUUCUACUGAAAUAUGCUGUCUUCCCCUGAUACAUCAAAAGCCUUCCAAUUAUCCAAGU